rnacentral:lncRNA from 1 species
GUAGUAAGCAGCAGGGCCAAUCCUGGGCCGUGCACUGGUACUGGCGUUGGCAGUGGGAUCUGCGGGCUCCUUUGGGGACAUGUCAGACAAGUAAUGGCAUCCAUCACAAGGGUCCAGAUAGAGCUCUGAGGGGAGGCUGGUCUGAGGCCCAGGGCCAAGGCACCCACCUGGAAUGAGCCUGAGGACAGCAGGUCCCUGAGCUGUGUCAGAUGCUUAGAGAAGGCAGGCACCCUGGGCGGGUUGUGUCACCCUCUUGCUCUGGCCCUGUGAACCCUAAGCUCGCUUUGCUUAAGAGAGGGAGGCUUGGCAGCUCCUAGAGGCCCAGGCCCUGGCUGAAUUUCUCCAGGGUCCUCAGAGGGUGGGGAAGUGACUGGGCAGAAGUGGGAAGGAACCAGCCCUGCGCCGUCGCCCGGGCUCUUGGCUCCUGCACCCAGAGCCGUCCGGCAGGGAAGCGGCAGGUAAAGAUGAAUCAGUGAUUCAGGGCUGCAGGCCAGGCACCAGGCCAGGCUGUAAAAGUUAUUGUGCAGCAUCACAAUGGAAGGCGGGGGACACAAAUAGCAUCCGAGGGAAACUAGUGGCCCUGACUUGGAAAGCAAACCUCUCUGCAGCCACGGGACCCCCAACAGCAGCCUCACAGAGCCUGCCCCGGCCACCCUAGUCUGGGCUAACUGUCCUGCCUUCUCCUCCAAGAUUCCCUUGCCUGGGUCCCUCCUCCCUCGGCCUCACCACACUCCUCUGGGGACCCUGUGCUUGGACUCCACCCUUUCCUGUCCAGACCACUGUGAAGGCCUUUAGUCACCUCCUAGAGAAGCAAGAUUUUCAGCCCUGGCUUUCUACCCCCACACCCUACAGCCGGCCAGGGGACAGGGUCGUGUUCACACAGUGCUAAGGGAACACGCUGACGUGUGUGACAUCAAGAACUCCAGUGCCCACACAGCCCGAGUCCGGAUGCAAUGUUCCUGCAGACCCUGUCUUCAGCACUGGCAUUGGGCAAUUAAUUAAAUUGCCAUUAUCCUCCACAAAGUGAUGACUACUGAUUAAGAACAGCCCUUUUUCUCCACCGCUCACUUGGCAGUCCUGUUUCUGCCUGGCCGCAGCCUCAAGUCUCUGCUCCAUGGCGCAAGGCAGACGCACGCAGACAGGCUUUGUCGGUUCGCUGAUGUGUGUUGUUUGGAAAAUGAGAACACAAGGAAAGCUGUCCUUAGGAGGAAGAGGCAAGGAGAGGCAUCGGGAGGCCAAGAGAUCAAAGCGAGGUGUCAGAAACAAAGACAGUGAAGGAGUUCAGUCCCCUUUUAAUGCUGCCUGCCAGUUCAGACGGCCACUGCCCUUGCCUUCUAGGGAAUUCUGCUGGUUAAGAAGCUCAGACAAGCCCCAGAAUGCCCCGAUGAGGACGCAACAGGAAGACAAUCCAUAGACAGAGAAAGUGCUUUGUUUUACGGUUUCCUGGGCACUGACACCAGCAGCCUUUUCUGCCAGCGGUUUGAAAUACGAGACGCUGGUGUUUUUUCCCGGCUCCCUGAAUUUAAAUUACAUCACCAAAGAAGAAACUUCCCGAAGGAAAUGAAUCUCUGCAGAUAACGAUCCCUCACAAUGGAUUCAAAUUGUAAUAAAAAUAUAACUUGAAUGUUAAAGGUGAAUUUCAAUUAAGGAUUCCAUCACAUAUUUUGCUCCAGACCACAAUAAAAAAACUUAUUUCACUGCCAAC